GAAUAGGAAGAUAUAUAAAGAAAGAGCUAGAAUGUAGCAUAAAAGGUUUCCUGCCAGCAGCACCUUUGGAGUCUGGAGGCUGCGUCUGAGAAAGAGAGUGCUUGCCUCAUCUAUAUUUCACUGUUGGUGACUCACAAGCAGUGACCUAGAUCACAGGAGGUGGGUUCUGAGAGUCUACCUGAACAAUGAUUUCAAGAAAGCUCUGAUAAAGUAAACAUCAGAUCUUGAUGCUUCUAUUAUGAAGUAAUAUUGUGUAACUGGACACCAGAGGACUGAAGCCAAAAGAUCUUCUCAUGUUAAUCAAAGAUGCCAUGGAUUGUAUCUGCAGCAUCAAUAACUGCUUGAAGGGAUGGGCACACUAUGAGCUGUCCCUCCAGGACCAAAGACUUAAAUUCCUCUCUGAAGAAUUUUGUCAACAACUUUAGAGAUGGCAUCCCAAUUCAAGUAAUCAUAUUUUCC